rnacentral:tRNA from 1 species
GCCUGGCUGGCUCAGUCGGCAGAGCAUGUAACUCUUAAUCUCGGGGUCAUGCGUUCAAGCCCCAUGUUGGGUA